rnacentral:ncRNA from 2 species
UUACUUUACCUUUGCUCCGUUCAAUAGUUAAGGGAACUCCGUGAGAACCGGAGACAGUACCCGCUGCUGUGAUGCUUACCCGUAUGGGUUAUCCUCUUUCGAACCACUGCCGUAAAAGGCGGGAAGGUGCAGGAUGUAAAAGCUAAGUCAGAAGACCUGCUGGAGAACGCUUAUAUUU